rnacentral:rRNA from 1 species
CCUACGGGUGGCAGCAGUGGGGGAUAUUGCACAAUGGGGGAAACCCUGAUGCAGCGACGCCGCGUGAGCGAUGGAGUACUUCGGUAUGUAAAGCUCUGUCAGCAAGGUGCAGGUCGGGACCUGCUGUGAGAGUACCUGAAGAAAAAGCAUCGGCUAACUCCGUGCCAGCAGCCGCGGUAAUACGGAGGAUGCGAGCGUUAUCCGGAUUUAUUGGGUUUAAAGGGUGCGCAGGCGGAGGCACAAGUCAGCGGUAAAAUCGCGGGGCUCAACCCCGCUCCGCCGUUGAAACUGUGUCCCUUGAGUGCGCGAAGGGUAGGCGGAAUGCGUGGUGUAGCGGUGAAAUGCAUAGAUAUCACGCAGAACUCCGAUCGCGAAGGCAGCCUACCGGCGCGCAACUGACGCUCAUGCACGAAAGCGUGGGUAUCGAACAGGAUUAGAUACCCUAGUAGUC